UUACGGCCAUAUCACGUUGAAACAACGUUUCUUGUCCGAUCACCGAAGUUAGGCAACGUCGAAGGUAGUCUGUACUUAGAUGAGUGACCGCUUGGAAAUAGCAGGUGCUGUUA